rnacentral:rRNA from 1 species
AACGAACGCUGGCGGUAUGCCUUACACAUGCAAGUCGAACGGUAGAGGGGCAACCCUUGAGAGUGGCGAACGGGUGAGUAAUACAUCGGAACGUGCCCAGUCGUGGGGGAUAACGUAGCGAAAGCUACGCUAAUACCGCAUACGACCUGAGGGUGAAAGCGGGGGAUCGCAAGACCUCGCGCGAUUGGAGCGGCCGAUGGCAGAUUAGGUAGUUGGUGGGGUAAAGGCCUACCAAGCCUGCGAUCUGUAGCUGGUCUGAGAGGACGACCAGCCACACUGGGACUGAGACACGGCCCAGACUCCUACGGGAGGCAGCAGUGGGGAAUUUUGGACAAUGGGCGAAAGCCUGAUCCAGCCAUACCGCGUGCGGGAAGAAGGCCUUCGGGUUGUAAACCGCUUUUGUCAGGGAAGAAAUCUUCUGGGUUAAUACCUCGGGAGGAUGACGGUACCUGAAGAAUAAGCACCGGCUAACUACGUGCCAGCCGCCGCAGUAA